rnacentral:rRNA from 1 species
GACGUAGGGGGCGAGCGUUAUUCGGAAUUAUUGGGCGUAAAGGGUGCGUAGAUGGCCUGAUAAGUUAGCAGUGGGAAAUCGAGGCUCAACCUCGUGGAAGCUGGUAAUACUGUCAGGCUCGAGUGCAGGAGAGGUUAACGGAACUCCAUGUGGAGCGGUAAAAUGUGUAGAUAUAUGGAAGAACACCAAUAACGGCGAAGGCAGUUAACUAUUCUGUUACUGACAUUGAGGCACGAAAGCGUGGGGAGCAAAACGG